rnacentral:rRNA from 1 species
GUCCACGCCGUAAACGAUGAGUACUGGGUGUCGCGGGUAGUUGACCCCUGCGGUGCCGUAGCUAACGCGUUAAGUACUCCGCCUGGGGAUUACGGUCGCAAGAUUAAAAACUCAAAAGGAAUUGACGGGGGCCCGCACAAGCGGUGGAGCAUGUGGUUUAAUUCGACGCAACGCGAAGAACCUUACCUGGGCUAGACAACGGUGGACCUCCCCAGAGAUGGGGCUUUCCCUUCGGGGACUGCCGGUUCAGGUGCUGCAUGGCUGUCGU